UGGGGAAUUUUGCGCAAUGGGGGAAACCCUGACGCAGCAACGCCGCGUGGAGGAUGAAGUACUUCGGUACGUAAACUCCUUUCGAUCGGGACGAUAAUGACGGUACCGGAAGAAGAAGCCCCGGCUAACUUCGUGCCAGCAGCCGCGAUAAUACGAGGGGGGCAAGCGUUGUUCGGAAUUAUUGGGCGUAAAGGGUGCGUAGGCGGUUUGGUAAGUCUUGUGUGAAAUCUCCGGGCUCAACUCGGAGUCUGCACGAGAAACUGCCGGGCUUGAGUGUGGGAGAGGUGAGUGGAAUUUCCGGUGUAGCGGUGAAAUGCGUAGAUAUCGGGAGGAACACCUGUGGCGAAAGCGGCGCACUGGACCAUAACUGACGCUGAGGCGCGAAAGCUAGGGGAGCAAACAGGAUUAGAUACCCUGGUAGUCCUAGCCCUAAACGAUGAUUGCUUGGUGUAGCAGGUACCCAAUCCUGCUGUGCCGCAGCUAACGCGAUAAGCAAUCCGCCUGGGGAGUACGGUCGCAAGGCUG
rnacentral:rRNA from 1 species